GCUUCACUGUUCCCUGCGAUUGGCUUCGGGCUCUUCUUGCGCAGCUUAGGUGGGAGGCAGAGAGGGUUCCUUUCCGGGGGGNGCCUGAGCCAUCAGUGAGAUACCACUCCAGGAGAGCUAGAAUUCUAACCUUGUGUCAAAAAUUACGGGCCAAGAGACAGUCCCAGAUAGACAGUUUCUAUGGGGCGUAGGCCUCCCAAAGAGUAACGGAGGCGCGCAAAGGUUUCCUCAGGCUGGACGGAAAUCAGCCUUCGAGUGCAAAGGCANGAAGGGAGCUUGACUGCAAGACCUACCAGUCGNAGCAGGGACGAAAGUCNGGCCUUAGUGAUCCGACGGUGCNCAAGUGGAAGGGCCGUCGCUCAACGGAUAAAAGUUA
rnacentral:rRNA from 1 species